rnacentral:rRNA from 1 species
AAGGAAUAUUGCUCAAUGGGAGAAAUCCUGAAGCAGCAACGCCGCGUGGAGGAUGAAGGGUCUAUGACUUGUAAACUCCUGUAAAGAAGGAAAAAAUUCCCAUUAGAUGGGAGAUGAUGGUACUUCUGGAGUAAGCCCCGGCUAACUACGUGCCAGCAGCCGCGGUAAUACGUAGGGGGCAAGCGUUGUCCGGAUUUACUGGGUGUAAAGGGUGCUCAGGCGGAUUUGUAAGUCAGAGGUGAAAUCUUACAGCUUAACUGUGAAACUGCCUUUGAUACUGCAAGCCUAGAGUAUGGAAGAGAGUGAUGGAAUAUCUGGUGUAGCAGUGAAAUGCGUAGAUAUCAGAUAGAACACCAAUGGCGAAGGCAGUCACUUGGUCCAUUACUGGCGCUAAAGCACGAAAGCGUGGGUAGCAAACA